GGUGUCGCCAUCUUUACACAUGCUCACUUCUGCUGGGAACCUGCACUCUCCAUCAACUCCUCCCUUCAACUCCUGCUGGAUCCAUUUCCAAAUCCCUAUCCACUGACUCUCAGAACCUCUCCUGAUUCAAGUCCUCUGUUCAUCUCCUGGACCUGCCUGGCAAUCAUGAGAGAUGGCUGCCCCAGCCUCUGCUACACAUGGCAAAGAAGUUACUUCACCUCAUUGAACCUCAGUUCCCAAACAGACUGCCUUCUUCUCUGCAUGUGCCUGGGACAAGCACCAUCUCUGACAGCACCAUCACCUCGCUGCCUGUAGUCUGGGACAGACCUGUAAGGAAGAGGCUCUGGAGCAGCCGACUAAAGCUAACGGAAUGGUUCCUGUGCAUGGAGAGAGCUGCUGUUCCACCACCAUGUGAUAGAAAAUAA
rnacentral:lncRNA from 13 species